CAAGUGGUUAAGGCAGGGCGGAUU
rnacentral:piRNA from 1 species